GAUGAACGCUGGCGGCGUGCCUAAUACAUGCAAGUCGAGCGAACAGACGAGGAGCUUGCUCCUCUGACGUUAGCGGCGGACGGGUGAGUAACACGUGGAUAACCUACCUAUAAGACUGGGAUAACUUCGGGAAACCGGAGCUAAUACCGGAUAAUAUAUUGAACCGCAUGGUUCAAUAGUGAAAGACGGUUUUGCUGUCACUUAUAGAUGGAUCCGCGCCGCAUUAGCUAGUUGGUAAGGUAACGGCUUACCGAGGCAACGAUGCGUAGCCGACCUGAGAGGGUGAUCGGCCACACUGGAACUGAGACACGGUCCAGACUCCUACGGGGGGCAGCAGUAGGGAAUCUUCCGCAAUGGGCGAAAGCCUGACGGAGCAACGCCGCGUGAGUGAUGAAGGUCUUCGGAUCGUAAAACUCUGUUAUUAGGGAAGAACAAAUGUGUAAGUAACUAUGCACGUCUUGACGGUACCUAAUCAGAAAGCCACGGCUAACUACGUG
rnacentral:rRNA from 1 species